GCUGCCGUAGCUCAGUGGUAGAGCACUCCCUUGGUAAGGGAGAGGUCGGGAGUUCAAUCCUCCCUGGCAGCACCA
rnacentral:tRNA from 2 species